AAAGAAGAUAAAAUGUCUGCCCGGCACCUACUUUGAAAGUCUGAAAAGUAGGUCUUUCAAAGUAGGUGCUGGGAGGAAAGUCCGAACACCACAGGGCAGGAUACUUCCUAACGGGAAGUCUUGGUAACGAGGAGCCAGCUCCACAGAAACAAACCUCCAGCACCUACUUUGGGUGUCUGCAAAGCAGGUCUCUCAAAGUAGGUGCUGGGAAGGGUGAAAUGGUAGUGUAAGAGACUACCAGGUUUCGGUGUGAACCGGAAUGCUCGGAAAGCCUUAUCCGGUGCAAUGCCAAAUAGGAGAACAGGCCAGCCCGGCCACAUUGUUCUCGGGUGGGCAGCUGAAAUCGGUCAUUAUUAUGAACUCUGAAGAGUAUAGCAAUAUCCGGUUUAGAUAAAUAGACAUUAAAUUGCUUGUUAGGCGAUUUACAGAAUUCGGCUUAUUAUCUUCUUUGACA
rnacentral:RNase_P_RNA from 1 species